rnacentral:rRNA from 1 species
GACGAACGCUGGCGGCGUGCCUAAUACAUGCAAGUCGAACGCAGUGGGGAUGGCUGAGUAACACGUGGUUAACCUCCCAUCAUAGGGGUUAACACUUGGAAACAGGUGCUAAACCGAUACUGUUGGCUGGACCCGCGGUGCAUUAGCUAGUUGUUGAGGUAACGGCUCAACAAGGCCACGAUGCAUAGACGAGCUGAGAGGGUGAGCGGGGACACGGGGAUGGAGACACGGUCCAGAGACCUAGGGGAGGCAGCAGUGGAGAAGCUUCGGCGAUGGAAGAAAGUAUGAACGAGCAACGCCGCGUAAGUGAAGAAGGGAUACAGACCGUAAGACUCUGUAGUUAGAGAAGCGGUAUCUAACCAGAAAGCAACGGCUAACGACGUGCCAGCAGCCGCGGUAAUAC